GACGAACGCUGGCGGCGUGCUUAACACAUGCAAGUCGAACGGAAAGGCCCUGCUUUUGUGGGGUGCUCGAGUGGCGAACGGGUGAGUAACACGUGAGUAACCUGCCCUUGACUUUGGGAUAACUUCAGGAAACUGGGGCUAAUACCGGAUAGGAGCUCCUGCUGCAUGGUGGGGGUUGGAAAGUUUCGGCGGUUGGGGAUGGACUCGCGGCUUAUCAGCUUGUUGGUGGGGUAGUGGCUUACCAAGGCUUUGACGGGUAGCCGGCCUGAGAGGGUGACCGGCCACAUUGGGAAUGAGAUACGGCCCAGACUCCUACGGGGGGCAGCAGUGGGGAAUAUUGCACAAUGGGCGGAAGCCUGAUGCAGCAACGCCGCGUGCGGGAUGACGGCCUUCGGGUUGUAAACCGCUUUCGCCUGUGACGAAGCGUGAGUGACGGUAAUGGGUAAAGAAGCACCGGCUAACUACGUG
rnacentral:rRNA from 1 species